rnacentral:tRNA from 1 species
GUCCGGAUAGCUCAAUGGUCUAGAGCAGUUGCCCGGAGAGCGAAAGAGUCGGAUUCGAUUUCCGAUCUAGCUA